CCUACGGGAGGCAGCAGUGGGGAAUAUUGCACAAUGGGGGAAACCCUGAUGCAACGACGCCGCGUGAGUGAAGAAGUAUUUCGGUACGUAAAGCUCUAUCAGCAGGGAAGAAAAUGACGGUACCUGACUAAGAAGCCCCGGCUAACUACGUGCCAGCAGCCGCGGUAAUACGUAGGGGGCAAGCGUUAUCCGGAUUUACUGGGUGUAAAGGGAGCGUAGACGGCAGCGCAAGUCUGGAGUGAAAUCCCAUGGCUUAACCAUGGAACUGCUUUGGAAACUGUGCAGCUAGAGUGCAGGAGAGGUAAGCGGAAUUCCUAGUGUAGCGGUGAAAUGCGUAGAUAUUAGGAGGAACACCAGUGGCGAAGGCGGCUUACUGGACUGUAACUGACGUUGAGGCUCGAAAGCGUGGGGAGCAAACAGGAUUAGAUACCCGAGUAGUC
rnacentral:rRNA from 1 species